rnacentral:piRNA from 1 species
UGAGCAGCUGGAUGUCGCGUGCGGCC